rnacentral:rRNA from 1 species
UACGUAGGGGGCAAGCGUUGUCCGGAUUUAUUGGGCGUAAAGCGCGUGUAGGUGGCCAUGUAGGUCCGCUGUGAAAACUUGAGGCUCAACCUCAAGCUGUCGGUGAAACCACAUGGCUAGAGUCCGGAAGAGAGAGUGAAUUCCUGGUGUAGGCGGUGAAAUGCGUAGAUAUCGAAGGAGAACACGGCGAGCGAGCUGCCCUGCGUGAGGGAACUG